CUUUUGUACUUGUGGUACAGACUGCUGCCACGCCAGCUGGCUAGGUUGCUCUGACACCCACAGUUUUCCACCACACCCACAUGCUGUAACAACCUUGUGGAUUCUUCAUAAUGUGCUUGUUCACAUCAGAAGAUUAAUCUUUCCUCCCACCAUUCUGACCUGAUGCCCUAGCAACUAUUGUUACUCAUGUUAUUGAUCAGAGAUCUUAAGAAGGAAUGAGCCAUUUUCUACAUUGUGUUUGGAAUAGAAUCUUCAAUUUUCCACUCAUAAGGGUCUACUGAGGAGGCACCAUCCCAACUCUCCACCUUCACUGAGCAGGAAUAUCAGAUGACAGAUUUGGAGAAACUCACCAUUCAAGUACAGAGUAUGACAUAUGAGCUAAUUGAACUGCGUGGAAUCAUGGACAAUUAUAUCAACAAGGAUUUGAACAAAAGAUAGUCAUUAUUUCCAGUUCUCUGCUAACCAACUUGACCCACAGUGUCAAGACAAGCUUUCCUGAGGAACAGGCUGCUCUACCUCCGUGGUGUCCUGGUGCCUAAACUAAUUUUCCUGAGUGCAUCAGAGAGGCAGAACAUGGAGCCUGUGUAGGAGUAUUGGGGGUACAUAGGCUCUUCUGCUUCCUGCAAAUAAAAACUAGAGCCUGUGACCUGAA